AUUGAACGCUGGCGGCAGGCCUAACACAUGCAAGUCGAACGAGUAGCGGACGGGUGAGUAAUGUAUGGGAAACUGCCCGAUGGAGGGGGAUAAAUACUGGAAACGGUAGAUAAUACCGCAUACCCUCGGAUGUGCCCAGAUGGGAUUAGCUAGUAGGUGGGGUAAUGGCUCACCUAGGCGCAGAUCCCUAGCUGGUCUGAGAGGAUGACAAGCCACACUGGAACUGAGACACGGUACAGACUCCUACGGGAGGCAGCAGUGGGGAAUAUUGCACAAUGGGCGAAAGCCUGAUGCAGCAAUGCCGCGUGUGUGAAGAAGGCCUUCGGGUUGUAAAGCACUUUCAGCGGGGAGGCGUUACCCGCAGAAGAAGCACCGGCUAACUCCGGGCCAGCAGCCGCGGUAAUUC
rnacentral:rRNA from 1 species